CUCGCGGCGCCCCACGCGGUCGCCCGCCUUCCGAACUACAAGUCCCGGCGUGCGAGGGGCAUGCGUGUUUCGGCAGCUGAGAGAGCUCGGGUCCUGGGGCCCGCCCGUGGCUGUGGGUUUUUAAACCAAAGGGAGGUGGCAAAUGGAGGACUAUAGAGACACUUGACAGUUUUCAUAAUUAAAGCAUGAGAACAAGAAAGAAUCCUUGUGACAGCAUUGCCAGUAGGUGUGGACAAAGAUGUCUGUACCAAGAUGAAGGCAAAAAUUCUGUUGUCAUUCCAUAUCGCAAAAUGUCAGCUGGGAGGCUUGGGUGGGCCAUACCCAGUGCCAGGAAUGGACCAGAGGGACCCCAGCAAAGGUCCUACCUUGAAAAUGGAGUCUGGAGGAUGGACAAGGCCAUAAAGAAAGUGCUGGGAAUCAAAUCCUGUGUACUGGAAGACAAAGGGGAGAUGCCCUGCUUCAAAACUAGACCCUCCUUGCAUAUGUGAAAGCACAUAUGCCACACUGGCUGGCUGAUGCUGCAGAGAGAAAGGAAUGAAGGCGGGGGAAAAUUAGACUCCUUUGAGUCUGCUUCUUUCUUUCCAACACUCAGAGGAUGUGUUUAUUCUGAAUUAUGGAUCCUAUUUUUUGUGAACCAUAGAACUCUGGAAUUACACUGUCUGCAGUUCACUACUUGCUGCAGUGGUUCAUCUCAGGAUGGAAAAGGUGAACCAUAAAUUCAGAAAGAAUGUUUUAAUUCUAUUUCUGAUGUGAACUUUGGGCCAAAUUUCAAAUCUAAACGGAAAGAGGUCAGCUGUGUUUGUAGGUCCAAAGAUUAUAUGCAAGAAAUCAAGCAUUUAGACAAAUAGCCAAGAGAUUAGGAAUUCAUGGAUUUGUUGCUGCACAUUAUUUAUUCAGUUAAGAUUUUCUUGCAUAACUUCAAGUAGUGUUAUGAAUACUGGAGUUUCCUGGCAUGUACCCAGAAGCAAGUAUUAAUGUAUGAUUAAUUCUUAAGUUUAGCAUAGAGAUACCUCUCAAGUAGUUGUUUGUUUUUAAAAGAGAAAAAUAAUUAUAUUCCUUUAACUGGGUAGGAAACCAAAUCUCCGUUCCCCAGCCUUGUGACAAGCUCCCAAGUUAAUACAGUUUAGUCAACACAGACAUAUUUUGUCAAAACUUCUGAAGAAUGCUGACCCAGAAUAAGCCAUAGAAGAAAAACUGACAUAAAGCAUAGAACUAAUUGUGCAAUGCUUUAUGUGGAAAAAUGACUUCCUGAUACCAGUGUUAGUAGCAUCAGGAUGUGGUGUUUAGAGAUCUACAUUUGGUUCUUAUCUUCCACAUAUGAAUAUUUUGCAUAUAUAUAUAACUUGUUAUAUCCACGUAUAUUAACUGUUGUAUUCAAUGCCUCUUCUCUCUUUUUACCUGAUAUUUUUCAACACAGGUGAUCCUCUUAUACACUUUUAGAUUUCUUAUUGUUUAAAAUGUCAUCCACCAACUCACAGGUAUUUACUUUGUGAACUCCUUGUUCUAGAGAAGCUGAGUAGUGCCCAUGUAGCUGGAAAGUUGCACAGUGAGCUUCUAACACAUGGAGCUGAGUGAGCUGACUGAAAUGCAAGCUGUAAAUGGAUAGAUGUGUAAAAAUAGCCCUAAGUCCAUAAGUUUGGGAAAAUUUUUACAACUUUAAGAAUCUUUGAUUUGGUAAGCAGCAUAAACUAUCUAUUGCAUAUUUGUUUAUUCCUGUAUAGAUAAAGCUAAAAUCAAGUUUACCUCAGAGUGUUCUGUCAUAACUCUAGGAAAAUGGCAUUUGAUACAAACUUGUGUUAAUAAAAACAAACCACAAAAUCCAUUUUCCUACAGUAGGGUGAAUGACUUCUCUUAUGUCAAAAGUACAUGUAUGUAUUGGAGCCAAACACGUUUUCCAUGACAGAAGCAUCCUGGAGCCUUCCUGCCCUCCUGAAGGAACUCAGAGGAGGUUUGAAAAAGAUACAAAGGUCUUUAGACACAAACAUCCUUGUGGGUUCAACACACUCGAUUUUCCAGGGGAGUGAAUUUUGUAUCUCCAUAGGAUAGUGGGGUCUUCAGAGGGGUUUUAUUAUGACCCUGUUUGUAUUCCUAUUUAAGACCACUUAUUAUUUCACUUAGCUUGCAAACUAAUAAUGGUGCUAAGUUAAGCAAGCAUCAGUCUAAUUCCAUCGUCUUUAUAACUUUAUUUCUCUGGAGGCAUGAAAAGAGAUGAAUACAGCAAAUGAAGUGUACGAACGUCCUAUAGAAUGGAUCUGUAUCUGUUACAAGGCAUUAACCAUGAUGAUCUACAGAUUAUCCAAUUCUUGUUAUUUUAGGUUAACAACAAAAUGUGACUUUGCCAAAUGCAGAUUCAGCUCCCAGGGUGUCCAAUACAGUGGCACGUAUCAUGGCAUUUCAGAGUUUGCUGUGUACAGAAGCACUGUAAAAAGUUUUUCCACUUAGGUAGAGAAUAACAGAACAAACCCAAGUGGGAAGUUUUUCUAUACUGUCUUGCAUAACAAGGUCAAGCAGAGAAUCUGUUAAGACAAAAAAACAGUGCCAAUUUAAAUAAAUCAGAUGUUUUUGCUGAAGAUUAUGCUGUCAUUUUCUCCAAUUAUUCUUGACAUUUCACCCAAUCGUAUUGUGAUCGGAGUUAAUAAUGGAAGAAAAAGAACGGCUCUCGUUGCCUUGUUUAUGCUUUGUUCUCAAGGAGAUAAGCUGU